AUCUUAUCAAGAGAAGCUGAGGGACUGGCCCUAUGAAGCUUCAGCAACCGGUCAACAACGAGUGAAGAUCCAUGGAUACGGU
rnacentral:ncRNA from 2 species